UUGGGAGCAGAGCCUGGAUUGGCAGUGUGCAAGGCCGCCCCCUGCUCUGUGGGGGAGGACCUUGUCUGUGACAUUGGGUGGGUUUCUCCUGUUUGCAGAGAGCACGCUGUUUGCGGAGCAGUGCUGAGCCUGGUGUCAGUGCUGGUUGGGACAGGACCAGGCUGGACAGGGACACCCGGCAUUUGGGCUAAACGAACUAAGGGGCUUCGGAAGGUCCCUGUGAGAGGCAGCAGUGUGCUCCAAUUUAAAAAAGAAAAGCUGUGCGGAGUGCAUCCAGGGAAACACUGAAAUAUUUCUCUCCAGCAUGUGUGGAGGUGAAUCUGCACUUGGACAGCUACGUGCGGAUAGAAGGUGGAAUGAGAGCAGAGCAGAGGCUACUUCAAUGGUCCAGGAAAACUGCCCUCGGCCACCCACCUUUUGGUCAAGAAGAACUCGGUCACUCUGGGAUGGAUGCCUGGAAGGUGGGGACCCUGUGUGUUUCCAGUAGGGAAGAAGGAGCCAGAAAAGAGGAGGUUGCAGAUUGAGGAGCGGAGGCGUGCAAGUCAGGAGACAGAGCAGCCAACCUCAGCAGGGCCUUAGAGGUCCUUAGAGGCUUCUGGGGACAGAACUGACAGCGAAGUCUUGCCGGAGAAAUAAAUUGUGCCA
ensembl:lncRNA